rnacentral:rRNA from 1 species
CUUGGUCAUUUAGAGGAAGUAAAAGUCGUAACAAGGUUUCCGUAGGUGAACCUGCGGAAGGAUCAUUAUUGAAUGAACUUGGUGUGGUUGUUGCUGGCCCUCUCGGGGGCAUGUGCACACCCGCCAUCUCCAUCUCUCCACCUGUGCACUUCUUGUAGACCUGGAAUUAGACUUUCCGAGGCAAACUCGGUCGGGAGGAUUGCUUGUCGCUUUGCGUCAGCUUUCUUUGCACUUCCAAGCCUACGUUUUUUCAUAUACCCGUAGUAUGUAACAGAAUGUGUCAUUUGGGCCUCAGUGCCUAUAAACCAUAUACAACUUUCAGCAACGGAUCUCUUGGCUCUCGCAUCGAUGAAGAACGCAGCGAAAUGCGAUAAGUAAUGUGAAUUGCAGAAUUCAGUGAAUCAUCGAAUCUUUGAACGCACCUUGCGCUCCUUGGUAUUCCGAGGAGCAUGCCUGUUUGAGUGUCAUUAAUGUCUCAACCACGCCGUGAGGUCGUGGCUUGGAUUUGGGGGUCACAGGCUCUGAACUUGUGGUCUGCUCCCCUGAAAUACAUGAGUGGUGAACGACCCUCUCCGUCGAGAUGUGAUACAUAUCUGCAUCCAGUUGAGGGUUUUGCUGCUGCGAGAGUUGGAUUUGAUAAACUUGACCUCAAAUCAGGUAGGACCACCCGCUGAACUUAAGCAUAUCAAUAAGCGGAGGA